rnacentral:rRNA from 1 species
AUUGAACGCUGGCGGCAGGCCUAACACAUGCAAGUCGAGCGGAUGAGAGGAGCUUGCUUCUUGAUUCAGCGGCGGACGGGUGAGUAAUGCCUAGGAAUCUGCCUGGUAGUGGGGGACAACGUUUCGAAAGGAACGCUAAUACCGCAUACGUCCUACGGGAGAAAGCAGGGGACCUUCGGGCCUUGCGCUAUCAGAUGAGCCUAGGUCGGAUUAGCUAGUUGGUGAGGUAGUGGCUCACCAAGGCGACGAUCCGUAACUGGUCUGAGAGGAUGAUCAGUCACACUGGAACUGAGACACGGUCCAGACUCCUACGGGAGGCAGCAGUGGGGAAUAUUGGACAAUGGGCGAAAGCCUGAUCCAGCCAUGCCGCGUGUGUGAAGAGGGUCUUCGGAUUGUAAAGCACUUUAAGUUGGGAGGAAGGGUUGUAGAUUAAUACUCUGCAAUUUUGACGUUACCGACAGAAUAAGCACCGGCUAACUCUGUGCCAGCCGCCGCCGUAACAC